CCAGAAGUAUCAAUUGGAGGGCAAGUCUGGUGCCAGCAGCCGCGGUAAUUCCAGCUCCAAUAGCGUAUAUUAAACUCGUUGCAGUUAAAAAGCUCGUAGUUGAAUUUCUGCUGCAUCGUGGUUCUUCGCUAUGUCGAGUGAUCUUCGUUAUGGCUUAGUUGGGGCAUGUUUUCAUGACUCGACGUUUACUUUGAGAAAAUUAGAGUGCU
rnacentral:rRNA from 1 species